UACGUAGGGACCAAGCGUUGUUCGGAUUUACUGGGCGUAAAGGGUGUGUAGGUGGCGCCGUAAGUCGGGUGUGAAAUUUCGGAGCUUAACUCCGAAACUGCAUUUGAUACUGCCUUGCUCGAGUACUGGAGAGGAGAUUGGAAUUUACGGUGUAGCAGUGAAAUGCGUAGAUAUCGUAAGGAAGACCAGUGGCGAAGGCGAAUCUCUGGACAGUUACUGACACUGAGGCACGAAGGCCAGGGGAGCAAACGGG
rnacentral:rRNA from 1 species